AAUCUGCAAAGUAAUUGUUUCCUUAAUGGGAUAAUGCUUCUGAAGACUGCUGUUUGGAAAAGCAAUGGCCUGGAAAAUAGAGGUCAAUAAAACAACAAAAGGACAACCAGCCUAGCUGAAAGAGGAGAGCAUUUGAUGGAAAUAAUUUAAUCACAAAACUAAUUUCUUAUCUGUUAAGUAGGGAAUGCUGGUUGGGAAUGCAGUGGAGCGUGACACUUUAAUAGCACAGUCUGGAAAGUCUGAUCAUCAUUUUGUUUUCAUGUUCUCUGCCAAAUGAUGCAAGUACUAUAUGUAUGGAGAAAUGCACUGGAAUGUGUAAUACAAGCAUAAGAUCUAUACCAAAAGGUCAGAAGGAAGAAACGCCGGUGUGCAUUCUGUUGGACCCAUGGGAAGGAGACAACUGGUACAAGGGCAAUGAGGAAUACAGCCUGAGAUGAGGGCUCAGAGGCAAUGAAGAUGGUAGCUAUUCCUAGUAUUUAUUCCUCAAACUGUGAUGUAUAAUGAGCAACACACUAAUCUUCACUUGGUAGACAGGAAAACCAUCAGCUUUGCAGAAGUGUACAGCAGAGAUUGUUCACAAGCCCUGGGAAAGUACAUCAAGGAUUCUUAUCCCUCCUCAGCCCGGCUCUUCCUGCGCCUUCUUUAGAGCCACCUUCCUCUCUUCGCUCCUUCCAUUUCCUUUACUGCACUUCCUUCCAGUUACUGACUAUUGGCACUUGGCUUUUCCAACUAGGACAAUGUUUGCGUACUUUCUCUUUUUGCUUGUAUCUAAAUAUUUUUGUCUCUAGACUUUUAAAACCUGCUCUAAUCAAAUCUUUCUCAAGUCCCGGCUUGUAUGUUCAUUUAAGCUUAGCCUCUUCUAUAAAAUGUUCCUGAGAAAUCAGCCUCCUCUCGUUGGUUUGCAUAUCCCAUAUUAAAAAUCUUGUUUAAAAAUUCACAUGGUAAUUCUUACUCCUUGCUGCCAAAGCCACUGGAUAAAUCCACGGACUCUGUUAUAUGACAGCACAUUCAUUAUGUAUAAUUACAAAGCAUAUGAGAUGUUACUCAACAUUGUUAGCUUGGGUACGCUGGAAUUCAAGCACACAUCUGUACACAAUUUAUAGUUGCUUAUAACAUAUGCUAGCACACAGCGUGUGAACAGCCAGAAUUUAAGCUCAGGUCCUGUGUGAGGCUCUUCAUGAA